rnacentral:rRNA from 1 species
GACGGAGGGUCCUAGCGUUGUUCGGAAUGACUGGGCGUAAAGGGUACGUAGGCGGUUUGGUCAGUUAGAUGUGAAAGCCCAGGGCUCAACCUUGGAACUGCAUUUAAUACUGCCAGACUUGAGAUCGGAAGAGGAAAGCGGAAUUCCUAGUGUAGAGGUGAAAUUCGUAGAUAUUAGGAGGAACAUCAGAGGCGAAGGCGGCUUUCUGGUCCGAAACUGACGCUGAGGUACGAAAGCGUGGGGAGCAAACAGG